GAGUUGCCUAGAGACACAUGCACACUCAACACGAUAAAAUGAAUCUCAUUACCCUCCUGAUCGUGAUGGCAAUGGCUGUAGCGGCAGUUCUGGCCAGUCCCGUCCCCGGACAUCCAUUCUAUAACAACUAUAAUUAUGGUUACGGUUAUCCCCAAUACGCCGUUACUUCUACUUACAUCCCUCAAACGAUCCACUUGACCCGUCAACACUUUUCUCUUCCUUACGGAUAUUACAAACACUUGUGGUAAUGAUGCACUCCUGAGUGAGGGACAACAUCGCAAUGAGCCCCAGCAACCUAAGGACUUUUUUCUUUUAACGUUUCAGAAUCAGGUUCUUACUGCACCUUCCUACUUUUCAUUACCUGUAAUGUAUUUAUCUUAUACUCCAAUAUUUUUCAAUUGAAAUUAAAUUCAUAGAAAUAAUUACGCUA